GAUGAACGCUAGCGGCAGGCUUAACACAUGCAAGUCGAGGGGCAACACGGGUAGCAAUACCUGGUGGCGACCGGCGCAAGGGUGCGUAACGCGUGAGCAACAUGCCCUAUACAGGGGGAUAAUCCAGGGAAACUUGGUCUAAUAUCCCAUAGUAUUUAGAGGUGGCAUCACCACUAAAUUAAAGCUUCGGUGGUAUAGGAUUGGCUCGCGUGACAUUAGCUGGAUGGUGGGGUAACGGCUCACCAUGGCGAUGAUGUCUAGGGGUUCUGAGAGGAAGACCCCCCACACUGGGACUGAGACACGGCCCAGACUCCUACGGGAGGCAGCAGUGAGGAAUAUUGGACAAUGGAUGGAAAUCUGAUCCAGCCAUGCCGCGUGCAGGAAGACGGCCCUAUGGGUUGUAAACUGCUUUUAUAUGGGAGCAAUAAGGUUUACGCGUAGACCGAUGAGAGUACCAUAUGAAUAAGCAUCGGCUAACUCCG
rnacentral:rRNA from 1 species